rnacentral:lncRNA from 1 species
GGGUGUUAUCUACAGUGUUUCUAAAAUUACCUCUCUGAGACUUUCGUCUAGCUUUAAGGAACUUCAGAUACAGAGGAAAUGAAACAUAUUUCUCCUCGAUGACUUUAAAAACAGGUCAGGAUCGCCUCUGCUCUGGAACCUUCCUACACUGAGUGUUCAGCUGGGGGUUGCAUCAUAUAUGUAUUCAACCUGCCCACAUUCAGUUAUAUGCAUGCAAUCGAGAGAGAGAAAAUUCAAACAGCACAAGCAAGUGAACCACCAGCCAUUCCAGUCUACAAGUGUAAGCCCCACAGUGACAAGGAUGUGGAAGACUUGAAUCUGCUCUCCUUUGGACUGGGCCUAGAAGAGGCUAAGGAAGAAAGAAGUACUAUUAUAAAAAGUAGAAGAGGAUCAAAGACCACUUCACCUACUUUAUGAACUUGCCUGGGGCUGCUCCAUCUAUGGGACUCCAAUUCAUCUUUGGCAUGAAUGACCUAUGUUGCCAAACACUUGACUUUACAUAAAAAGGCAGAGAAAGACAUCAGACUUGUGCCAUCUGGUAUUAUUGUUCUUUUUUUGAGGACUAAAUGUAAAAUUAAAAUGUAAGGAGGAAAACAAUGAAGAUUGUAGCUGGGGGAAAUGAAAACCACAUUUUGAUGUUUAUUUCUCUGGUCUCAUGAGGUUAACUUUGUAACAAACAAAGGGAUGUGGUAGAUUAAAAACUAGCAUUAAAAUAAAGAAAUACAGAAAUGAAUCAAGUAUUUAGACAUGGAAAUAUACAGAUCUUCAACUUUAGUUUGUACAGCUGUUUGUUUUUAAAGCGUAGAACUAUUCGUUGAAAAGAGUUAGAAACCAAAAUCAUCUUAGAGAGCCAUGAAAUUUUAAAAUGGCCCCAUUUUCCUGGUUGAGGCUCAAAUUAUUCUGAUCACUUUAGUUUGUCUUGGAUAAUUUUUGUUCAGUUGGAUUACAUAAUGAUUUUUGCUAUCUCACUCACAGAAUUUAUUUUGCCAUUUUCCCACAAUCUAGAAGACUUUUAAUGCCCA